rnacentral:lncRNA from 1 species
GCCUUUUUAUACAAAACCACAUGUCCUUUCAUUAGGAAAUUAAAUACCACGAAACAAAACUGAAACAUUUUAUCAGGACAGCUGCUGGUUUCCAGAACAAUCGUGUAGUGAUUAUUGUCACCAGCAGAGGGCGCUGCAGCUACACUGAUUAAUUGGGCGCGCUGUUACUUCAGACAGAAGAACUGAAUCUGGAGGAGAGGGUGAAGUAUAAUUGUCAUCAUCACUCAUCAGUUAUCAAAAGAGACAUACUAACUAUUCAUGUUAGAUUAAAGUAAGUGUGUGUACUAUAUACAGCACUUGAACAACAGGAUGCUGCAUAUACACUCCGAGAUUUUAAUGAUGUUUGACACUGAAGCAGGAAAUGUGAUGAGCUUAUGUUAAUGUGUGAUUGUAGCUUUUCUUUGUUAAUUUUAGAUUGUUCUGAUAUAUUACACACACAUGUCAGAGACAGACUUUGAGCUCUAAAGAUCAUGCAUCUCAAAGAACAUUUGCAUGUUACAAGACGAGAGCCUUGCAUCUUCUGGAUAUUUCUUCCGGUAUUGGCUGUCGUCGGUGGAGUCUGAUUGGUGGAUCUACUGAUUCGCCGCCUUUAAAAGGGCGGCACUUACCGAAGAUGGGAGCUCAUUCUGGCGUUGGCUUGUUGGCGUGAAGAGCUCCGGGUUCCUUCUCCCGUCGGCAGAUCCCAAAAUCUUUGGUUUAUUGUGUUCGUUUGUUUAUGAUGAUUUAAUUUGGUUCUGUUUUAGGAGCGUAGGACUUGUUACAGAACCUCAGUGAAUAAAAGAACUGACAGCAUCACACAAUCUAGUUAUGAGGAAUUUUAUUUAUUUUUUGUGUUAAUAGACACCAUAAAAUAACUGAAUAUGUGAAAAUACAGCAUGAUUCCAGAAUAAUGUUCUCAGAUGAACGUUACAAAUAAUUCAGUGAAAACAAAACUCAAAGUAAAUAAGAACUCCCCGUAUAACUCUCUCUAAACUGUUAGUUAUGAUAGAUAAGUAUCAUUGUGAUCAGUCUUAGAUCAAAUCCCAAAUCAGA